CAAAAUUUUAUAUAUCUAGGUUGUUUCCUAAGGAAAAACUAAAUAGAGAACAAAGAUAAGAAAACACUGAGGUUGGUAUGAACUGCGACUUGUUCUUCUUGGGACCUAUUCUGAUAAGAGCAAAUAUAGAGUUUGGUUUGAUAGAGGAAACCAGGACCUCAAAAGAUAAUAAGCUUUAUUAAAUAAUAAAACUUUAUUAUUGGGAAAAACAAUCUGUUCUUGUGUGCCUUUAUCACUAGGCUUUAUUGACUUAAAUAGAGAUAAUAGAAACAACUUCCUAAAAAGUCUAGACAAACUCUAACACGCAAACAACUUAAAUAACCAACAGAUAAUUCAAAUAAAAAAUAUAUUUAUCUUUUAAGAAAGUAACAUUCCCUUCCCCUUGAAGACACUCUUGUCCUCAAGGGUUUAAUUCAACUAAGGUGGCCAUAGUAUUUCAGGACUUCCACCAGUAAUUUCCAUCUAUUCAUCUGCAUCACUGUCAUUGAGACAUGAACAACUUUUUGCAACGAUGUUCGGGACCAAAUUUAUCAUUACAUUUGAAGCAUAAUCCCUUUUUCCUUCUUUCAUCUAUUUCUUCCAUUGUUAGUCUCCUAAUUGGCAUUGUUACUGGACUACUUUGAGCUUCAUAAUUUGCGGACGAAACUUUGGAUGAGACGAGAUCACGGGCUUUGUUCCUAGCUUCGUAAAGCUUGGCUAACUCAAUGGUUGAGGAUAAAGUUGAAGGCCUUCCCGCUUGAACUUCAGUUCUGAUAUUGUCCUUUAAUCCACUAAUAAAACAACUGACCUGCCUUUCCUGUGCCAAAUGUCCAGUUUUGGAAAGCAAUUUUUUGAACUUAGUCUGAUAUUCCUCAACAGAUCAUUGCUGCUGCAAUUUGGUGAGUUCGCCAAAGAAAUCAAAAUAUUGGUUUGGACCGUAAUGAGAGUGAAGCCCAAAUUUGAAUUCUUCCCAAGUAAUAACCGGUGCUUUCUGCUUCAAGAGUUGAUACCAUAAUUGGGCGUCUCCUUCUAAAUGAAAGGAUGCAAGCGACACUUUAUCAGUUGAUGGAGUGUCAAGAAACUGAAAAAAUUGCUCAACUCGACAUAUCCAGCUAGUAGGGUCUUCGUGGCCAUUAAAACGAGGAAAAGUCAAUUUGACUAGCUUUGGUGUGUACGUGGAAUGAGAGCCAUCCCCACUGCUACUACCAUGAGCCCCACUGAGGCGGUCUUUGCUCUAGAACUCUCUCUUUCUUGCCUUGAAAUGUGAUCAAUUCGGGUAUUGAGUUGGGAGAAUAAUUCCUUUAGUUGAUUGAUGAUGGUUUGCUGUCCCCCUGACAGAGACUGCACUUCCUUCUCUGAUCCAUGCCUGAGCUUUGAUACCACUUUGGUAUGAACUGCGACUUGUUCUUCUUGGGACCUAUUAUGAUAAGAGCAAAUAUAGAGUUUGGUUUGAUAGAGGAAACCAGGACCUCAAAAGAUAAUAAGCUUUAUUCAAUAAUAAAACUUUAUUAUUAGGAAAAGCAAUCUGUUCUUGUGAGCCUUUAUCACCAGACUUUAUUGACUUAAAUAGAGAUAAUAGAAACAACUUCCUAAAAAGUCUAAACAAACUCUAACACGUAAACUUAAAUAACCAACAGAUAAUUCAAAUAACUAACAGAUAAUUCAAAUAAAAAAUAUAUUUAUCUUUUAAGAACUUAACAGAGGUGCAGGAUAACAAAGUUAUGUGAUUAACAUUUAGCAUAUGACUAUCCAUGGGCGUAGUUGAGCAAGGAGUGUAACCUGAUUGAUUUUCACAAUUGUGGUUUUCAAAGAAAUAAAGCCCCAAACGUUGGAGCCUGGUCCACGUUUCAGAUAUGUCCUAUGGUACUUGGAAGAGUCCUUGUCUGGUGGGGUUGCCUCAGCACAUCUGAAUAGCCAAUUACUGAUAUUUUUAUUGAACAUCAUAAACCUUUUAAUUCCCAGACCCAGUAUAUUUACAAUCAUUAUUGGUUGUUUAAAUUAUCCAUAUGAUGCUAUUAUCUGCUUGUGCUACAACUGGAGUUAGCAAAUGCACACUUUGCCUGAGUAAUCGCCAACAUCCAACAGCUACUCCUUGUGGUCAUGUAUUCUGCUGGAACUGCAUCAUGGAAUGGUGCAAUGAAAAGCCAGAAUGCCCUCUCUGCCGUACUCCCAUAACUCAUUCAAGCCUAGUUUGUCUGUAUCAUUCAGAUUUCUAGGAUGGGCAUAGAAUUACUUGCGGUUAGGAAGAACACUAAUAAAAAGCCACCAACUUGUUUGCUUCUUUGAAGAUGUAAAGUAUCAAUCUGGGGAAUGAGUUAGAAAUUUAGAAAACAAUUCCCUAUGGUGGUCACAUAGUUGUAAUUGCAUCAGAUUUUUUUCAAUGGCCAAUGAGCGUUCACAUAAUUUGGAAAUUGGGAUUCUUUUUUCCUCUUUCUGGUGUAGAAUGUAAAUUAUCAGAAGGGAAUAGUUGCAUAAUGAGUUUGCUUCUGG